rnacentral:rRNA from 1 species
GCCAUCAUUCAGUUGGGCGACUCUAGCGAGACUGCCGGUAAUAAACCGGAGGAAGGUGGGGAUGACGUCAAAUCAUCAUGCCCCUUAUGACCUGGGCUACACACGUGCUACAAUGGUUGGUACAACGAGUUGCGAGUCGGUGACGGCGAGCUAAUCUCUUAAAGCCAAUCUCAGUUCGGAUUGUAGGCUGCAACUCGCCUACAUGAAGUCGGAAUCGCUAGUAAUCGCGGAUCAGCACGCCGCGGUGAAUACGUUCCCGGGCCUU